UGCUAUAAUAUUUUUUAUUAAUAAAUACAAAAAUCAUUAUAUAACAAAUAAAUAAUGUAAUACAAUUAUAAUAAUUAUAUGAUUUAUAUUGAAUUAUAACAAUAAUAAUUUAUAAUUGUAUAAUUUAUCAUUUUUUGCACCAUGCACUUUACUAAACGGUGCGGACUUUUCUUUGCCGACGGCCAUAAAGCAAAUAGUUGUCAUUAAAACACAUGCAAAGACACUGAAAUGGUGUGUUAUUGUUUGCAGUAUAGCACCAUCUUAUGGACGAGUUUGCUCACUGCAGGCGCCCGUUGGGUAAACAAACGGCUACAAGUAUUUUUUUCUGUGAAGCGCUUUCAAGUGCCGUUCCGUCUUCCGGCCGUCCAUAGCGUUUCUACUCCUAAGGAUUCUUCAUUCAUCACGCCGAGCAACGUUUGUAAGUUUUACAAUGUAACUAAAACAAUUCUUACUCACUAAACCGUCCCGUGUGUGAUGUCUGUAGGAGUGUUUUCAUGCAUUUUUAUACGUGCUUUAUACCUGCCUUCAAGAGCCUGCACAACCUGCCAUCCCGUGCCAGAACAUAACCUUCUGUUGAUGUCCCACCUCCGUUCCCGCGUUGACGUUGCUGUGUGUCUCGUCAUUCCUUGUCCCCCCGCCCCCUGUUUCCCUGACUGCCUCUUGGAUCUUGACCACCCUUUGCAUGGACACGGACUCUGACGCCUCUCUCUCGCCCUGGAUCUUUCGCUUGUUGCACGGACUUCCUAGAUCAGCCUCGCCCUCUUGGACUUCCGAGUUUGGAACAACACCUCCCGCUUGAUGACGGCCUCCCUGGUCUCGGAGUCGGUGGUCAGGUCGAACAUUCCCAGGCCGUCGCCGUCCGUCAGGCGGUAGUUGACCAUCCCGUUGUCUCCCAUGUCGGGGUCCUUGGCCUUGAGGCGGCCCACCUCCUCCCCCUCCACCUUGUCCUCGGACACGGCCAUGGAGUACACGCCUGCCAGGGAAGACGGCAGCACAGGAGGAGGUUCCUACCUGCGUGUCUGUGCGAGCGACGGCCGACGGACGCGUCCGCUCUCCGGCUGCCUGACGCCAGACUACACAGAGCGCAGAGCCCCGCGAGCAGGACAAAGACCCUCAGCAGCCCCACGCCUCGCCUCUU